rnacentral:rRNA from 1 species
CUCUUCUUGGAAUUAAUUUGAAGUAUUACCUGCCCGCUGGAGUUUUUGAAGGGCCGCGGUAUAUUGACCGUGCAAAGGUAGCAUAAUCAUUAGUCUUUUAAUUGAGGGCUGGAAUGAAUGGUUUGACGAGGCACAUACUGUCCCUUUGAAAUGUUAUUGAAUUUGGUUUUUAAGUUAAAACACUUAAAUGUUUGUAUGGGACGAGAAGACCCUAUAGAGUUUUACCGGUAUAUAAUUGUUUAUGUUUGUUGAUUUUGAAGAUGAAUUAUUUUCUGGUUUGGUUGGGGUGAUUAGAGGAUAUAAUAAACUCCUCUUUAUUGGUGAUAUAUUUAUUUAUAUUUAAAUGAUCCAUUUAUUUUGAUUAUAAGAUUAAAUUACCUUAGGGAUAACAGCGUAAUUUCCUUUGAGAGUUCUUAUCGACAAGGGAGUUUGCGACCUCGAUGUUGGAUUAAGAUAAAUUUUUGGUGUAGGUGCUAAAAAGGUAGGUCUGUUCGACCUUUAAAAUCUUACA